AUCUUUAUUUAAUGUGUUAAUUUUCAUAAAAUAUUUUAUUGUACUCCCAGUUGUUUUAAAUACAUUUAUUGCUUAUAUUUUUAUUUUUUUAAACUAUUCUUAUAAUAAUUAUUAAAGUAUUUAAUCAAAGACAAGAUGUUAGAUGAAUUAGCUUUAGAUUAUUCAGAAUACCUAAAAGUUGACAAUUCAACAGAAGUCAAUGCUUUAAAAGAUGUUAUUGAAGAUAUGCUUACAAGACUAGAAGAAUUUCAAACAUUCAUGGAAAUGGUUAGAGCUUUAAGAGCUGAAAGUACUAUGUUGCAUUAUGAUACUAUUAAAGGAAUGAAAUCUAAAGUAACUGAAUUAACAAAAACUGUGAAUAAUUUAGAAAAACUUGUAAAUAAAGUUGGUGAGGAUGUUGAAUUAGUUGAUCAACAAUUAACUGAAGCUGAAUCUUGUAUGCCCAUUAAUAAAGAGGGACCAUUAAAUACAAUUUUAAAACCAUUUUUUAAAAAACAAGACGACCAUUCUACUGUGAAACAGCUUUUAACAUAUGAGCCUCCAAUCAUAUUCAAAUCUGAUGAUUUUUUUGGAACAUGUGAUUCUUACCAGGAACCUGGAACAACAAAAUAAUUUUAAACACAAUUUUACAUAGAAUAAUUGAUUACUUCUAUGUUAUGAUCUUACUAAAGUUUUCUAUAAAGAAACAGUACAGUAAUGUUAUAAUCAAUGAGAACAAUAGAAACUUGUUUCCUUACUGAAUGAAUACUCUAUAUAUUUGUUUAAAAUUAGUAAUAUAAUUUUGAUAGAUACUGAAUUUUAUAGGACUAUUUAACAAAUUAAAUUGUUGACAUAGUAUUAUG